rnacentral:misc_RNA from 1 species
GAUGAAGAACGUAGCGAAAUGCGAUAAGUAGUGUGAAUUGCAGAAUUCCGUGAAUCAUCGAAUCUUUGAACGCACAUUGCGCCUUCUGGUAUUCCGCAGGGCAUGCCUGUUCGAGCGUCAUUUCAACCCUCAAGCCUCGCUUGGUGUUGGGCCCUGCCCGCCGCGGCCGGCCCUAAAGAUAGUGGCGGCGCCGCCUGGCCCUCAGCGUAGUACAGCUCUCGCUCCAGGGUCCGGCGGCAGCCUGCCAGAACCCCCCAACUCUGUGGUUGACCUCGGAUCAGGUAGGGAUACCCGCUGAACUUAAGCAUAUCAAUAAGCGGAGGA